GACGAACGCUGGCGGCGUGCUUAACACAUGCAAGUCGAACGGAAAGGCCCUGCUUUUGUGGGGUGCUCGAGUGGCGAACGGGUGAGUAACACGUGAGUAACCUGCCCUUGACUUUGGGAUAACUUCAGGAAACUGGGGCUAAUACCGGAUAGGAGCUCCUGCUGCAUGGUGGGGGUUGGAAAGUUUCGGCGGAUGGGGAUGGACUCGCGGCUUAUCAGCUUGCUGGUGGGGUAGUGGCUUACCAAGGCUUUGACGGGUAGCCGGCCUGAGAGGGUGACCGGCCACAUUGGGACUGAGAUACGGCCCAGACUCCUACGGGAGGCAGCAGUGGGGAAUAUUGCACAAUGGGCGGAAGCCUGAUGCAGCAACGCCGCGUGCGGGAUGACGGCCUUCGGGUUGUAAACCGCUUUCGCCUGUGACGAAGCGUGAGUGACGGUAAUGGGUAAAGAAGCACCGGCUAACUACGUG
rnacentral:rRNA from 1 species